rnacentral:rRNA from 1 species
CAUGCAAGUCGAGCGAAUGGAUUGAGAGCUUGCUCUCAUGAAGUUAGCGGCGGACGGGUGAGUAACACGUGGGUAACCUGCCCAUAAGACUGGGAUAACUCCGGGAAACCGGGGCUAAUACCGGAUAACAUUUUGAACUGCAUGGUUCGAAAUUGAAAGGCGGCUUCGGCUGUCACUUAUGGAUGGACCCGCGUCGCAUUAGCUAGUUGGUGAGGUAACGGCUCACCAAGGCAACGAUGCGUAGCCGACCUGAGAGGGUGAUCGGCCACACUGGGACUGAGACACGGCCCAGACUCCUACGGGAGGCAGCAGUAGGGAAUCUUCCGCAAUGGACGAAAGUCUGACGGAGCAACGCCGCGUGAGUGAUGAAGGCUUUCGGGUCGUAAAACUCUGUUUGUUAGGGAAGAACAAGUGCUAGUUGAAUAAGCUGGCACCUUGACGGUACCUAACCAGAAAGCCACGGCUAACUACGUGCCAGCAGCCGCGGUAAUACGUAGGUGGCAAGCGUUAUCCGGAAUUAUUGGGCGUAAAGCGCGCGCAGGUGGUUUCUUAAGUCUGAUGUGAAAGCCCACGGCUCAACCGUGGAGGGUCAUUGGAAACUGGGAGACUUGAGUGCA